rnacentral:rRNA from 1 species
GUGCCAGCAGCCGCGGUAAUACGUAGGGUGCGAGCGUUGUCCGGAAUUACUGGGCGUAAAGAGCUCGUAGGUGGUUUGUCGCGUCGUUAGUGAAAGCCCGGGGCUUAACUCCGGGUCUGCUGGCGAUACGGGCAUAACUUGAGUGCUGUAGGGGAGACUGGAAUUCCUGGUGUAGCGGUGGAAUGCGCAGAUAUCAGGAGGAACACCGAUGGCGAAGGCAGGUCUCUGGGCAGUAACUGACGCUGAGGAGCGAAAGCAUGGGUAGCGAACAGGAUUAGAAACCCCCGUAGUCC